GAUGAACGCUGGCGGCGUGCCUAAUACAUGCAAGUCGAGCGAAUGGAUUAAGAGCUUGCUCUUAUGAAGUUAGCGGCGGACGGGUGAGUAACACGUGGGUAACCUGCCCAUAAGACUGGGAUAACUCCGGGAAACCGGGGCUAAUACCGGAUAACAUUUUGAACCGCAUGGUUCGAAAUUGAAAGGCGGCUUCGGCUGUCACUUAUGGAUGGACCCGCGUCGCAUUAGCUAGUUGGUGAGGUAACGGCUCACCAAGGCAACGAUGCGUAGCCGACCUGGGGGGGUGAUAGGCCACACUGGGACUGAGACACGGCCCAGACUCCUACGGGAGGCAGCAGUAGGGAAUCUUCCGCAAUGGACGAAAGUCUGACGGAGCAACGCCGCGUGAGUGAUGAAGGCUUUCGGGUCGUAAAACUCUGUUGUUAGGGAAGAACAAGUGCUAGUCGAAUAAGCUGGCACCUUGACGGUACCUAACCAGAAAGCCACGGCUAACUACGUGCCAGCCGCCGCAGUAA
rnacentral:rRNA from 1 species